rnacentral:tRNA from 1 species
AGCUUUAAGAUCAGUUUGAUAUUAGAUUGCAAGUCUGAAAGGGUAAGUUAAAUCUUACUAAGGCUU